GGGCUUGUAGCUCAGGCUGGUUAGAGCGCACGCCUGAUAAGCGUGAGGUCGGAGGUUCAAGUCCUCCCAAGCCCA
rnacentral:tRNA from 1 species